UAGAGUUUGGAUCCAUGGCUCAGAAUUGAACGCUGGCGGCAGGCCUAACACAUGCAAGUCCGAGCGGUAGAGAGAAGCUUGCUUCUCUUGAGAGCGGCGGACGGGUGAGUAAUGCCUAGGAAUCUGCCUGGUAGUGGGGGAUAACGUUCGGAAACGGACGCUAAUACCGCAUACGUCCUACGGGAGAAAGCAGGGGACCUUCGGGCCUUGCGCUAUCAGAUGAGCCUAGGUCGGAUUAGCUAGUUGGUGAGGUAAUGGCUCACCAAGGCGACGAUCCGUAACUGGUCUGAGAGGAUGAUCAGUCACACUGGAACUGAGACACGGUCCAGACUCCUACGGGAGGCAGCAGUGGGGAAUAUUGGACAAUGGGCGAAAGCCUGAUCCAGCCAUGCCGCGUGUGUGAAGAAGGUCUUCGGAUUGUAAAGCACUUUAAGUUGGGAGGAAGGGCAUUAACCUAAUACGUUAGUGUUUUGACGUACCGAC
rnacentral:rRNA from 1 species